ensembl:snoRNA small nucleolar RNA SNORA8
UGCAUGCAUGGUAUCUGACCCAGCGGUUCUUUCCUGCUGCUGUGUUCAAAAGACAGUGCAAUAAACAUUCACUCUCUGGUAUCAUUGCUUCUUGCCUUUGGUGCUUGCUGGUACUUCUAAUGAUACAGUU